UCAUGUUUUUGUCUCUGGUUCCUCCUGUAUGUUCCGGCCGGUUUGUCCUAUCUGCUCGAUGUGCGGUUCUCCAGCUGGUAGGCCUACUUACCACUAAAACACCGCCAUGUUCAUCUGCUUCUGUGUUUGGGACCAUGCCUUACCCAACCAUGACACAAAGUUGGGUGACAGCUCAGGACUGGUGGGAGAACAGUUUGGCAGAUUCCCUUUGGCUUCUCUAACAAGACGAAAAGCCUUUGUUGAACUUUGUCCUUCAUGCUAAAUGGCCUUAUGGACCAGACGACAUCACAGAAACUACGGUAUAUUUGAAAAUAUCAGAAAGAAAUAAGACUAGAGAGGAUUUGGGAGGAUUUUUUCACCCAUUCCCCCCGAGGAGCAGAAGAGCAGCAGAGAGCCUAUAAGGCUACAUGACUCUGGAACAUCUGGAUGGAUCGUCAACAGUCCUUGUCUCUGAGUGCUCCAACCUUAUGAAACGUUAUAUGAGAAGACUAAGUGCCACUGGAAAAAUGUUUUCAAUGUUACUGUAUGCUGCUGUUUUCACCAAACACAGACAGAUAUGAUCAAAACCAAGUGAGGACGAAAGCAGCUGAAGGCAGUUCUGAGGUUUCCAGAGGUGAAGGUGAUCUGGGACUUUUUGGAAGUUGAUAAAUAUCUGCUGUAAAAUCCUGCAGCAUGUUGUUGUCGCUUGUUCCACCAGUGAUUAGUUAUGGGAUGUGGACACCUGCCCUCUUCCAAGGAACUGACCAUGUUUACGUCAUAGAAUAAAGAUCUUGAUUUUUUUUUCUUCUUUUUUCAU